rnacentral:lncRNA from 1 species
AAAAAGUAUAACAAACACAUGGUAAAGCUUAUAUUCAAUGCCUAAUUUGUUGUGUUUUUUUAGAAUAAAUAAAACUUAUAGUGAGCAGGGUAAAAUAUUCAUAGCUUUUAGCCUUCUACUCCACACAGACUCACAAUUUUGUUAGAAAAUGGUAUUAUAGUUUGAUUUCAAUUUCAUUUUCCUUUUCUAUCCUUUAUUAUUAAACACCAAAAUUCUUAAUUAUUUUUUACCGGCAAAUUGUUUGGAGAGGAGGUUCAUAAAAAGUAAUAGAAACCUAGUUCUUUAACCGGCAAAUUUCUUUUCUUUUUUAGUUCUUUAACUAGUGCUCCAGAAGGACUAGUUAGCAAGACCAAACAAUAUUAAUAUCUCCACUAAAAAAAGUACACAACUCUGAAUUUUUGAAUUCGAACACGGAUGAUAGUAUUUAACCUAACAAUAUUAAUAUCGACAAUUGAGUUGGGUUUAACUCACAUUCCAAAACUAAUUUACCAAACUAUCAUGGGAAACUAGCUAUAUGGAAUUAGAAGGACGUACAAUGAAAGUUUCUUUCUUUCUUUUUUUGACGAAUGACAUGCAAUGAGAUUAAGACCAGCCCUUUACAGACUCUAACCCAAACAAACAUAAAGGAAAUAUGGCCCCAUUUCCAACCUUGUUUGUGACAGACCUCACACCCCCCAGCGAAAAAGAUCAAAAGCACACAAGUUACUUCAAAGAACAAACAUGCACUAUGAUUUGUGAACAAAUGAAAAAACAAGACAAACAAAGAGAACCAAAAGCAUACAAUAAAGUGAAAUUGCACAUUAAAGAACCAAUGGGAAAAAUCCCACGGUGUAAUGAAAUAUUUAUACAAUAAAGUGAAAUCAUCUUGAGAAAAAUAUGAUGAGGUGGUAUGAAAUGAAGGCGCCUCAAAUGAAUUAGUUCUAUUGUUUGCAUAUUUAUAUGAAUUAGUUCUAUCCUUUAUACAAUGAGUGGAAUUAAAUGGAACAUGAUGAAAUGAAAUAUUACAUCCUCUUCUGCCAUUCUGUUACAUCCUCUCUAUUUUGGAUUUGGAUCCUCUACAAUUAUUGUCUCACAUUUGAUUUUUAAAGUGAUCGACUCACAUUCAUUUCAAUCGAUUAGAGAAUGGGUCUUGGAAAGAGUGUUGAAAAUCAAUUAUUCCUAUCAUUUCUUUCUUAGAGCAUGAUUACAGGUAGUUUAUACAAUUUUACCGAAAACUUUGUGUCAAAGCAUAACCGAUAAUUGGCUUCCCCUAUCUAUCCUAAAUUACUAACCGUCUUUCUGCACACCAACGUUUCUUUAAGGUUUUGUUGGAGUAAAACAUAAUAUAAAAUUAAAAUCAUACAUUUACAAAGCUACUUUGCGGAUCUGGUGGAAACUAAUUUAGAGUUUUUAUGAGUUGUCGAGAUAUUUAAAAAAUGUAGUUAAAUUGUUUAAAUAAUUGGGAAGUGUAAAAUAAUAUAAAAAAUUAAGUGGGACUAAUGGAUAUGAAUGCUCUUAUGCAUCAUUUGUGUGACCCUCGCAGAGGUGUUGGAGAGAGUGGUUAAACGCUCUUUCUGACACUCACAUAAAAUGGUAAAACUCACAUAAAUUUUAUCCAAUUAGAAAGUAAGUGUUAGAGAAAGUGUUAAAAAUAAAGUAGUGAAACUCACAUAAAUUCAGUUAGCAACUAUAUCAAUAUUAUAAGGUCGGUGUUCGAAUUUCAGAUUUUCUAUUUCUCCACUCUAAAAAUGUGAAUCUAGCCACUAAACUACACGACGAGAAAUGAAAUUUCCUAAAGAAUACUACAUACAAUUAAUUGAAGAUAAACUAGUCAAAGAGUAACCAAGGUGCAUGGAUUAUAUCGUUAUCUACCCUACCAUGUAUGAGACAUGUGGAUUAAUGUAAGAUACAUUAAUACUUUAUCUUGGUAUUUCAUCACAUAUUCACAUAUCUUAACUUGCAUAGAAUUUUAGAGACGUCAAGGAUACAGAGUAAACAAAAACAUAGAAAGGCUAGAACGAACAGUAACAUAACAUCCUCUGUGAAAUUUGUUAGAGCAUAAAUUUGAAUGUGAGCUGUAAAGUUGGAGAGAGAUAGAUUACCUUAAUGAACUCUGAAACAGAUAGAUGCAGAAGGAAGAGAAAGCAGAACAGGCGUGAGAAGCAAAUGAAUGAACCAUGUUAUUUUAUUCGUAUCUUUUGGUUGUAAAUUGGAUCAAUUAUUUGUCCC